rnacentral:rRNA from 1 species
UACGUAGGGGGCAAGCGUUAUCCGGGUUUACUGGGUGUAAAGGGAGCGUAGACGGCUGUGCAAGCCAGAUGUGAAAGCCCGGGGCUCAGCCCCGGGACUGCAUUUGGAACUGUGUAGCUGGAGUGUCGGAGAGGCAGGCGGAAUUCCUAGUGUAGCGGUGAAAUGCGUAGAUAUUAGGAGGAACACCAGUGGCGAAGGCGGCCUGCUGGACGAUGACUGACGUUGAGGCUCGAAAGCGUGGGGAGCAAACAGG